GAGUUUGUAACACCCAAAGCCGGUGGGGUAACCUUUUGGGAGCCAGCCGUCUAAGGUGGGACAGAUGAUUAGGGGUGAAGUCGUAACAAGGUAGC
rnacentral:rRNA from 1 species